AGAAAUUUAGGUUAACCACUAAACCAAGGACCUUCAAAGCCCUAAACGGGGCCCAAAUCCCAAUUUUUG
rnacentral:tRNA from 1 species